rnacentral:tRNA from 2 species
CUCGAUGAUGGUCAGGCCCAGUUCGGCGGCGCGCUUGACCAGCGCGAUGCGGCGUUCCAGGCUGAGGGUGCGGCCGGUGGGAUUCUGGAAGUUGGGC